rnacentral:tRNA from 1 species
GGAGAGGUGGGUGAGUGGCUGAAACCAACGGUUUGCUAAACCGUCAUAGUGCGACAAGUGCUAUCGAGGGUUCGAAUCCCUCCCUCUCCG